rnacentral:tRNA from 1 species
UUUUCAUUGUAAAAUUAAAAUUUUAUUUUUAUAAAUA